GAGAAUCACCCCAAAAAUAAGCGAAGACUUUGAAAAAAGGAGACUGAAAAAUCCCGAGUAAUCUCAAAACAGCCAAUUGCGAACGUGCAAUUCGGUAUUCGUUCAUUGGAGCGCCUCGUACGUAGAUCCUCCUUUUCCAAGGCAACGGCAGUAUGACCGCGGCAGCCGAAGCGACGUGGUCAUCGGGAGCGACAUCGAUGGUAGCGCGUACGUACACAUCCUUUGAGAAGAGAGAGAAGAAGCCAGCGAGGAGAGAGAGACAUAUAUUUGGAUUCAUACUUGACAGGCGUCGAAGGUGCCUGGUUCUUCCCAAUACGGUUCAACUCUGAAUUACUAUCCCUACGUUGUGCUGAAAAAUUCGUAUAAGGCUCUCAAUUCGUCGUCACAGUGCCUUGAUCAUCGCAGUACCUCUUCAACUUUCAACCCUGAAGGGCAGGACUUCCAUGCCAUCGCACAAUUCGUUUACAGGUGAUUAUAAUAAUAUAUUCAAUGCAAGAUAUUAUAACGUCACAUUGGCAGCAAUAUAUUUACAUAUAAUGUAAUAUGACAUAUAAUUAAUAUAUCGACAUAGAAUAUAAUAUUGGUAAUAAUAUGUUCUUAUAUGCAUCUCAUUAAUAAUCAAUCUUCCAUAUGUUUCAGGUACUCGGAGAUGCUGCCGCCGCAG
rnacentral:misc_RNA from 1 species